GGGCAGGUGAUCCGAUUGGUAAUGGUGGUUCUCUGUAAAAGAAUUGGUUAAAAGCCAUAAAAGGUUCGAUUCCUUUACUGCUCA
rnacentral:tRNA from 1 species